UACGUAGGGGGCGAGCGUUGUCCGGAAUUAUUGGGCGUAAAGCGCGUGUAGGCGGCAGUGCAAGUCGGGUGUGAAAGCCCUCAGCUCAACUGAGGAAGUGCGCCCGAAACUGCAUUGCUUGAGUACCGGAGAGGAUGGUGGAAUUCCCGAAGUAGAGGUGAAAUUCGUAGAUAUCGGGAGGAACACCGGUGGCGAAGGCGACCAUCUGGACGGAUACUGACGCUGAGACGCGAAAGCGUGGGUAGCAAACAGG
rnacentral:rRNA from 1 species